UCUAUAAGCCGCUUAAAAAUUACCCUCUAACCGAAGAGUGUUAGAUAGCGUCGAAGGACAAGAAGACCCUAUAGAGCUUAAUUUAAAUAAAUAUAAAAAAUUUACUAAAAUUCGGUUGGGGCGACCGGGGAAUUACCCAUCAUCCCUAAGCAAAAGAUAAAUAUAUCAAAAUUCUGACCCUUCUACAAGAUCAUUAAAACAAGCUACCUUAGGGAUAACAGGCUAAUCUCACUAGAGAGUCCUUAUCAAUAGUGAGGAUUGGCACCUCGAUGUUGGCUUAGGGAAUCUCUAUGACGCAAAAGUCAUAUAAAGAUGGUUUGUUCAACCAAUAACACCCUACAUGAGCUGAGUUCAGACCGGCGUAAGCCAGGUUAGUUUCUAUCCUCGAUCACUUUAUCUACUUAUAGUACGAAAGGACCUAAUUAGAGUAAUAUUUACACACACGGAAUAAAUAUAAACCAAUCUAAAUAAAAUAAAUCAUAAACUAUGAGUAAGUUGGCAGAAUAGUGCCACC
rnacentral:rRNA from 1 species